GGGGGAAGCGCGGGGUCGGCAAGCGGGCGGUGGCGCCCCGGCUUUUCUGCUCUUCCUUCCCGUUCCCGGGACGCCCUCGGGACUGCUUCUCACUGAUAGGCUCCAUGGUGGGCAGGCAGAGCUGGGGGCGUCUCACACCUGCCCACAUCUCCAGCUGGUAGUGGGGGCAGAGGGACGGGGCUGGGCCUGUGGGCUGGGCCCGGCACUGCCACCUCCCCCAAACUCUCACAUCGCCUGACAUAUUUUAAAUUAAAUUAGACUUAAUUAGUCCCCUAAAGCAGGCAGCAACCAAUAAGAGUGGACGUGAGAAGGGGCUUUAAGGAUGUGCUGCGAUUUGUGCAGGGUUGGGAUAGGUUUCAUGGAUUUGAGUAUCAGUAUUUUUCUGUUUGUUUGCUAAUUGCCACUAAUUGUACUACAUAUGAUGUGCUGAACAGGAAUGGUACUUGUUGGAACAAGCCAUCCGAGCUGUCACCUUGAUACAAGCAACUGCUUAGCUUCACUUGAGGACAUACACAUGUGCAGGGAAGUCCGGCAGGGAUUGUCAGGAGUCAUGAAAUACGUGGUCAUGGCCUGCAGGUUUUCCUUGUCUGAAAACAACUUGUGGGACCCCAAAAUCUGACCACGUGCUGGUUCAUAUAGUUUUAAAAAUCAGAGGUGGUUACCAAGGAAAUGCAUAGUAAGCUGCUGUUCCUUUGAACUACUGUGGGGAAAGUGUUAGCAGUGGUGUCAGAAAUUAAAAUGGCUAAAAGCAAUGAAGAGAAGACCUGAAACAUGAGCUGGAGAUCUGUCCAGAGGAAACCGGUGUAUAUCACAAGCUGGAUCUGAAGUUUCACUUAAGGAAUCCGUAGGGAAUUGAGGAACUGACCCAAAGAGACUGGAAAUAGAAUAUGUCUGAAAGGCACAAAUUCAAAAUUCCUGUUCUGGACUGGCAAGAUAAAAAGGCUAGAAAUCAAAUGCUCUGGCUGGACCAGAAGAACUGACUGGAAACAGUGGCAGGGAAAGGAAUGGCAGGAAAUCGGGAAACCUUUGGCCUGUUUGUAACUUCCUAACCAAAGAGUUGGAACUAGGUCUGAGGGAGCUAAAAAUAAGCCCCAGAAGGAAAUUAAAGUUCCCAUGUCGCAGUGGAAAUCAGCAACCAGGAUGGGGAAUUGAGCCAGCAUUUUAGUAAGAUAAGAUUUUU
rnacentral:lncRNA from 1 species